GCAGUGGUGGUUGAGCAGCAGAAUUCUCACCUUCCAUGUGGGAGACCUGGGUUCGAUUCCUGGUCACCUCA
rnacentral:tRNA from 1 species